rnacentral:rRNA from 1 species
CCUACGGGUGACAGCAGUGGGGAAUAUUGGACAAUGGGGGAAACCCUGAUCCAGCGACGCCGCGUGAGUGAAGAAGUAUUUCGGUACGUAAAGCUCUAUCAGCAGGAAAGAAAAUGACGGUACCUGACUAAGAAGCCCCGGCUAACUACGUGCCAGCAGCCGCGGUAAUACGGAGGAUGCGAGCGUUAUCCGGAUUUAUUGGGUUUAAAGGGUGCGCAGGCGGAAGAUCAAGUCAGCGGUAAAAUUGAGAGGCUCAACCUCUUCGAGCCGUUGAAACUGGUUUUCUUGAGUGAGUGAGAAGUAUGCGGAAUGCGUGGUGUAGCGGUGAAAUGCAUAGAUAUCACGCAGAACUCCGAUUGCGAAGGCAGCAUACCGGCGCUCAACUGACGCUCAUGCACGAAAGUGUGGGUAUCGAACAGGAUUAGAUACCCGGGUAGUC